rnacentral:rRNA from 1 species
UACGUAGGGUGCAAGCGUUAAUCGGAAUUACUGGGCGUAAAGCGUGCGCAGGCGGUGAUGUAAGACAGAUGUGAAAUCCCCGGGCUCAACCUGGGAACUGCAUUUGUGACUGCAUCGCUGGAGUGCGGCAGAGGGGAUGGAAUUCCGCGUGUAGCAGUGAAAUGCGUAGAUAUGCGGAGGAACACCGAUGGCGAAGGCAAUCCCCUGGGCCUGCACUGACGCUCAUGCACGAAAGCGUGAGGAGCAAACAGG